rnacentral:rRNA from 1 species
UACGAAGGGGGCUAGCGUUGCUCGGAAUUACUGGGCGUAAAGGGAGCGUAGGCGGACUGUUAAGUUAGAGGUGAAAGCCCAGGGCUCAACCUUGGAAUUGCCUUUGAUACUGGCAGUCUUGAGUACGGAAGAGGUAUGUGGAACUCCGAGUGUAGAGGUGAAAUUCGUAGAUAUUCGGAAGAACACCAGUGGCGAAGGCGACAUACUGGUCCGUUACUGACGCUGAGGCUCGAAAGCGUGGGGAGCAAACAGGAUUAGAUACCCCCGUAGUCC